CCGGCAGGAGGAUGUGCCACUGAACAGGUCAAGCAGCAAAUCUAAUGUCUUCAUACAACAAAAAGUACAGGCAGCUGAUAAAUACAGCAGAAAGAGGGAGUUGGGCAAAGGCAAAUCAUUGCCCUCAUCAGAAAUUCUGAUCUGACACACAGAAGAAGCUUUAUACUAGUGUAACUCCACUGACUUUAGUGGAGACAUGUCUGAUUUACAGCAGUGCGAGAUCAGAAAGAAAUCCCUCAGCAACUUUUCGAAUCAAGCCCAUUUAUAGACAAAGAAAUUCUCAAGAAAACAGGAGAUUAUCAGAAAAGCAAUGUUCGUCAGUAUUGU